rnacentral:misc_RNA from 1 species
AUUGUCCACUGUCCCAUAUAU